UACGGAGGGUGCAAGCGUUAAUCGGAAUUACUGGGCGUAAAGCGUGCGCAGGCGGUUUUGUAAGUCUGACGUGAAAUCCCCGGGCUCAACCUGGGAAUUGCGUUGGAGACUGCAAGGCUGGAGUCUGGCAGAGGGGGGUAGAAUUCCACGUGUAGCAGUGAAAUGCGUAGAGAUCGGGAGGAACAUCAGUGGCGAAGGCGGCCAUCUGGGACAACACUGACGCUGAAGCACGAAAGCGUGGGGAGCAAACAGG
rnacentral:rRNA from 1 species